rnacentral:rRNA from 1 species
AUUGAACGCUGGCGGCAGGCCUAACACAUGCAAGUCGAGCGGAUGAAGGGAGCUUGCUCCUGGAUUCAGCGGCGGACGGGUGAGUAAUGCCUAGGAAUCUGCCUGGUAGUGGGGGAUAACGUCCGGAAACGGGCGCUAAUACCGCAUACGUCCUGAGGGAGAAAGUGGGGGAUCUUCGGACCUCACGCUAUCAGAUGAGCCUAGGUCGGAUUAGCUAGUUGGUGGGGUAAAGGCCUACCAAGGCGACGAUCCGUAACUGGUCUGAGAGGAUGAUCAGUCACACUGCAACUGAGACACGGUCCAGACUCCUACGGGAGGCAGCAGUGGGGAAUAUUGGACAAUGGGCGAAAGCCUGAUCCAGCCAUGCCGCGUGUGUGAAGAAGGUCUUCGGAUUGUAAAGCACUUUAAGUUGGGAGGAAGGGCAGUAAGUUAAUACCUUGCUGUUUUGACGUUACCAACAGAAUAAGCACCGGCGAACUUCGU